GGAAAAAGGUUCCGGCCUCAGCCGGCGCACCUGGCGGAGGAGGAACCUCGCGACGCGCUCUCGGGCAUCGGUUUCUCCCAGCAAAGCUUGGAGGGUUUAGCUGCGCGGAGAGCUCAGCGAGCUCUUCUGUGUCUGUUUGGGGCGUGUGGGCUCCGGGAGCGUGAGGACCGGGAAGCUAGGAGGCUCCUUCCCUUCUGGCGGCUCCCUCACUGAGACCGGGCGGUUUGGUUGCGGGGGAAGUGGAGACGAGCCACCCUUGACCUUUGACUGCAAGAACUCACCUUGAGCAGGAUAGAGGCACGUGGACGGUGACCCUCGGGAUGCAAUAAAUGCUGAGACAGAUCAGCAAACAUUGAGUGGGCCAGACACUGUUCUGAAAAAUACGCAGUCGACUUUUGAACAGCACAGGCUUGAACUGCAUGCGGCCACUAAUACUCGGACUUCCUUCUGCCUCUGCCAUCCCUAAGACAGCAAGACCCACCCCUCCUGCUCCUCAGCCUACUCGAUGUGAUGAUGAUGCAGAGAUUCAGAGAGUCUAAGCAACUUUUCUAAAUCAUCUAGCUGGAAUUCAGUAACUGAGCCAGGAUCUACCCCAGGUCUGUCUGACUCCAAAGCCUGUGUCUUCCAGCACACACUGCUGCUGCCUGGGCAGGAAUGUGGAUAUGAUGUCUGGAGCUCUAGCAACCAUAUCAGACCACAAGGAUGAAUGUACACCCCAGGAAUGGAAGAGAGGAAAGCCAGAAAAAGACUCGGUCCCUGAUGGCUGAAGAGCUACCAUACCUGCCCCUAGAUCUUCUAUUUCUGAUCAUCUUCUAUGCAAGGCCUGGAAUGUAAUCAUGGAUAGCCAUGGAUGAUCAGCUUUCAUCAUGUGGGCAUGGAACAAGAUGGAAGGAAGCUGGGGCCCUGAGUGACCUGUGGAGCAGAGGCCUUUGCCCACCCUGGGCUGCCUGAUUUCCCCUGGACUAUCAUGAGACAGAAGAAAAAGCUUCUAUCUUAUUUGAACCACUGUGUUUUGGGAACCUUGGACUAGAGCAGCCUAGCCUUCAUACACUAACAAGGUGUAUGUGUCUGCUCUUUGUUGCUUUUGUAGAUGGUUGUGUUAUAAGCCUGAAUGCAGAAGUUGUUCCCCAGACUACUGGAUUUGCUGCCUUUUAAAACAGGUUUAUUGAACUAUAAUUGACAUACAAUGAACUGCAUAUAGGUAAAGUGUACAAUUUGAUAAGUACACUUUUUGAGCAAAUCCACCCUUUGUUCUGGAAGAAGACACUCUAUAGUCUCAGGCUGUUUCUUUACCAACAUCAACAAGCUAGUCUUAAACAGAGGAACCUCAGUGCCUCACUUUCAAGACAAUCAAGAUUAUUUCCCAACAUUCCACUAGUAGAGGGUCAGAAACAGAGUUAAAAGUUCUCAGACUAGAGGUAGAAUUGAAACCCCAGCUGAGAAGUAUCAAGGUGCCCUCCUUCCCCAAAGCUACAUAUUCUUGUGUCAGGAUCUUACCAGGAAAUGGAAGGCACAUUUACACAGGGCAGCCCAAGAGACUGUUUCAAAGGAAACCAGCAAGAUGUGACAAAGCACCCCAAGACUAGCGACACUGGGAGACCUUCUCACUUGACUUAAAAGGCUGGGGCAGGAGAGUUACAGGACCCAGUAUUAGCUGUAGCCAAAGCCUGGGCAGGGCCACCUAACAUGAGCUGCACCCUUCUGUAGAGCAGCACAGACCUUGUGCAUCUGAGGCCCAGCAGGAUGGGGCCUUGCUCAUCCUUCCCUUGCAGUUCUUGCUAAUGCUUCCUGUUGCCUGAACCCAGCUGGAAGCCAGAGGGCAAGGGAAAUCAAUUGAGACAGAUAAUGGAGGUAAUCCCCUGGGCACAGGGCAGCAUGGCAGAGGUAAGGAGUCUGUCUAGAGCCACAAAGGAAGAGGACUGAGUCCAGAGGUGAAAGCAGUCACGUAUCCCCAAAGACACCUGCUACACAUUUGGGCUUUGAUUUAUCAAUGAGAAGGCUUGAGGGACAGUGGGAAAAAUGAUGAGGAGUCAUUAGGUCCUUGUGGAAAUGGUGCCCUUGAAGGAUGAGCCUGUAAUCACUAGGUACACGUGGGUGGAUGAAUGCUGGUGAAACAGGUGGAGGGAAUGAAAGGACAGAGGCAGCACGAGAACACUGUAAGCAGAGCAGAAGUCCAUGCAAAAGCCAGAGAUGUGAGACAGCACGGGUACAUAUAGGGACCCGCAGGUGGUCUGGAGUGGCUUUGCUGUGGGUUGUGAUGAGAUAUCCACUGUGUUGGAGCUCUGGAACAAAAAGGAGGUCAUCUAAGCUGGUUGCUUCUGUUUUUUUCUUUUCUUUUUUUUCCGGAUGCAUUUCAAUUAGGUGAGGGGUACCAGGCAGAAACCCCUCCUGAAUAUAAACCCUCUGUCUUAUUGUACCAGUUAAAGAUGAACGAUGGCUCACUUCCUAUUGGGUACUAAGUUCAUUAUUUGGGUGACAGGAUCAAUAGAAGCCCAAACCUCAGCAUCAUGCAAUAUACCCAUGUGACAAACCUGUAUCCCCUAAAUCUAAAAUAAUAAUAAAAAAAGAUGUACCAUAGCUCUUAAUUGCUCUUCAAAUCACCCACACCAUUAGAGAAAGCUAUUUCCACCCCAAUCUGAAUUAAAGAAUUCUACAAUCUCCUACAGUCCGAAAGAGAGACUUCAGCUAAAGAGAAAGCUGGUGCUCCUCUUGCUAGCUGAGUGAAUUCUGAUCCUCUUUUUCAUUUUUAUUUUCUUGCUUGAACUCUGCUUUGUUAAAUCAAACACCAGCCCAAAACUGAGCCCAUGGAUCACCAUAUUGGCAGCCUUAUCCUAGAAUCUCAGGGCUGGAAAGAACUCCGAGUACAGCAUUCUCCAGUGUUGGGUGUCAACAGGAGCAGAGUUGGUCUCUUUCGAGAGCUUCCUGGAGAGUCUAUAAAAGCCUGGCUUUUGAACUCUUAUAUUUGGAGGCUGAGAUUCAGAAGGCCUGGGGUGGGGCUUGAGAAUAUAAAUUCUUUAAAAAAAUUUUUUUCUUUUCCUUAGAUAAAUCUUAGAAACCAAAGGGAAUUGAAUUCUUAAGAGGACUUGAAAAUGAUUCUAAUAUAGUCGGGUUAGGGGAAAUCUGGUCUUGAGCUUUUUCUUGGGAGAUGUGGUGAGUCCAAGGCAAGCCAGGCUUCAAUUCUGAAUCUACACUCUUCCCACACAUCUAUGUGGCCUCUGUGCCGAGUCUGAGUUUUAUGUUUUACAAAGAAAACUAGGAGAAAAACUGUUAUUCUUCUGAUUAACAGAAAAGUUGUCCAACUGGCUACACUUGAAUUAUAUCCCCUGAUUAUUAAACUCAGGCUUCUUUAGUUUUCAUUUAUUUUAUUUCAUUGCAUGGAGAUGUUUUAAAAGAGGAAGGCAAGGGGUGUGGGGGAAGGAUUCUGGGAUAGCGACCAUUCUCACCACAUGCAGAAGGCCAAUACUGCUUCCAGAAGGAGACACAAGGAAUCCUUCACUGAGUGAAAGUUUUUUUUCUUCCAGAGAAUAUCAGUAUUCCUACUUUAUAACAAGCCAGGAGCUUUUUCUGCUUCCUGAUUUAAAAAUUGAUUCCUGACUGCAUAGUUCUCACACAAUAGCUUCCUUCUUGCAGGGGCAGUGUGAUUGCCUGGAAUAUAAAUUCUUAGUGGGUUGACCAGGGAUCACGAGCAGUUAUUAUGUUCUCUGCUGCUCUUAACAUGUUGUGAUUCUCAAUAAAUAAUCCAGAGCCAAAGCAUGGUGUUUUGUUUUGCUUUGUCUCAGUGAGUUUUCCAAACUGUAUUUACUAUCUCAAAGUGAGAGCAUCGCAGUUUUCUGAGCCAACUGCAGCAAUUUUCCAGAUCUGGAGAGUAUUUUUGAAGAUUAUUUCUUUGGAGAUUUUCUCUCUUAUUUGGUUUGUUUCCUCUUUGAUAAUUUUUAUUAUUCAUAUGUUGAAUUUUUUGAGCAGAGCUUUAAUUUUCUUAUCUUUUCUCCUCCUUUUUUCCAUUUUUUUCUUUGCCACUUUUCUCCCCCUUCUGGGAUAUUUUCUCAAAUUUUUUCUUCUAAACUUUUAUCUUUUCUGUGAUUAUAAUUUUAAAUUCCAAAAUACCUUUUUUUGGAGAGGGGAGUGGAGGGAAGUGUUCUCUGACUGUUCCUUUUAUAUAGUAGCCUGUUCUUAUUUCAUGGAUGUAAUAUCUUUCCUCUUUCUUUUAUAGUCUGUUUUCCCCAAGUUACUUUUUUCCCUUGUUUGUUUAUUUGUGUCUCUGUAUUUCAUCUCGGAGCAUUCCUUAGGUGUUUGGUGAUUUCCUCCUUCUCCCUCUCUCUGCUCCCUGCAUUGUUAUAAUUAUCUCUGAGCUGACCUCCCAACUUAGGUCUUUCUCAUUUUCUAGUAAACUUGGCAUAAUCCUGUGAAACCCAUCUUUUUUAAGCCCCCAAUUCAACAUGUGAUUCUGUUGGUGAAAAGCCUUCCAUGGCUCCAUAUUUCCCACUUCAUCAGAACUUAACUUUGCCAUUUUUGACAUUUUCAGUCUCUGACCCCACUCAGGCUAGGCACCAUACCUCUUGCCUCAGAAUGUGGAUACUCUUGUGUGUUCAGAGUUGGAGAUUAGGAAAUAAUACUAUUAAAAGUAAUAGCAAUCGAUGAUAAAGCCUUCAUAUGCUUUAUUCACAGACAUUACUGACUUCUCCUGUUAGCUCUGUCGUGCUUACAUCAUGAUGCCCAUUUUUCAGGUAAAGAAAUAGUGGCUCAAACAAG
rnacentral:lncRNA from 1 species